GAACAUACAAUAUGUGUACAAAAGGCAGCCCAAGGAGUUAAAACGGCAGCCGCGCUGCCACCCCGAGGCCCUGAGAAUGAUAAAUGCUCAUCUCUGAUUUCUCAAAGCUCUCAAUCCACACACACACACACACACACGCACGCAUAUUCUCCUCUUUUUUAGAACUUUCUUUAUACAUAUAUCAUGACUUACUUUCAGGCUGGGCUGGACACUGACUUCUGACCCCACUGACCUACUCAGCGAGGUUUAUCUGUGUCCGACAGGUAUCGGACCCCUGAUCUUCUGCUGCACAUCUGUUUGACUGCUUGGAUUUUUCCUUACCUGUAGAAACACGACCGUCUCAACAAGGUUCCACCAAAGGUUCGAAGUACAUGUAAACACACGGGUUCAUCCCGGUAACCCCAGUUUGUCAAAGGCGAUGCAUUCAAAGAAACAUCGGGAACCAUCACUAAAGGAAUGGACGGCGGGAGGAAACUUUGGUACCUGGGGGAACAUGCCAACUCCGCAGGGAAGGAGCCAGAAUCAAACCCAGAACCAGCGACUGGGCCCACCACAGAGGCUGCGGUGACGCCUCUUUCUCUUCACCCUAUCUCUAUCAGCCAGCACAGAAAGCGCAUUUCGUCAAACAUGCUUUAUUGUUGAAGAAAAAGAAGAAAAAAGAUUAAAUAUAUGUGAGAAUUUUUCGAAACGCUGACUUGGCCUCAGUGAAUGCCCAGACCUUCAC
rnacentral:lncRNA from 1 species